rnacentral:rRNA from 1 species
UACGUAGGGUGCAAGCGUUGUCCGGAAUUAUUGGGCGUAAAGAGCUCGUAGGUGGCCUGUCGCGUCGGCUGUGAAAACUCGGGGGCUCAACUCCGAGCUUGCAGUCGAUACGGGCAGGCUAGAGUUCGGCAGGGGAGACUGGAAUUCCUGGUGUAGCGGUGAAAUGCGCAGAUAUCAGGAGGAACACCGGUGGCGAAGGCGGGUCUCUGGGCCGAUACUGACACUGAGGAGCGAAAGCGUGGGGAGCGAACAGG